rnacentral:rRNA from 1 species
UACGGGGGGGGCAAGCGUUGUCCGGAUUUAUUGGGUUUAAAGGGUGCGUAGGCGGUCAAUUAAGUCAGUGGUGAAAUACUUCAGCUCAACUGGAGAGGUGCCAUUGAUACUGGUUGACUUGAGUACUGAUGAGGUAGGCGGAAUGGACGGUGUAGCGGUGAAAUGCUUAGAUAUCGUCCAGAACACCGAUAGCGAAGGCAGCUUACUAAGGAGUAACUGACGCUGAGGCACGAAAGUGUGGGGAUCAAACAGG